rnacentral:lncRNA from 1 species
CGCCCGGCCGCCGCGCCCUCGGGCCUCUGAGUGGCUGCCCCUCAGCGUUGGCUUGCGCCGAGCGUGGGAUGCUGAGUUCCUGCGGACCCAUAGUGUUAGAUGUCUGUUAGAGCCCAAGCAACUACUGCAUGAGGAUUCCAUUCACAAGCAUGGACGAAAGCGGCGCCAGCAUGAACUAGGAAGGGCAACGUAAAAUAACCAAUCCCUGCAUAGAGAUCCACCAGCACUUCUCCAGCACAGGAGAGUGAGGCCACUCGAAGUUUCUCAGUGAUGUUUCCGAAGGAGAACAUGCACUGUGUCACAUCAAACUUAUACCGGAUGCCAUUAUCUACAUGCUCUACCCAGCCAUGGUCACCGAGCAGCAGAGUCACUGUCGGAGUUCGAGUACCAUCAGGUAGCACCCGCCCUCGUUUUGCCAAACGCUGAACUCCAAGGGCUGAGGCAACAGUCUCCCAGAGUUCUGGUUCCAGCCUUUUCCACUGCGUGGCUUGGAAACAGUCUUCACUAAGCAGCAUUAGGUCACCAUGCCGUUGCCAAGACCGGGGCAAAUCUGCCUCCAAUUCAGUGGACCACGUCACUCCGCGGUCCUCUACCCAACGCCUCACCUCAAGACACAGUCUUUGGGCAGGUGAACAAACCCGGGCCUUUUUAGAAGGAAGAGGAUCCAGGAGCUGCGUCAGCUUACAGGUGCUGCCGGGGGCCACGCGAUUCUUCAGCUCCUGCAGAUGAUGUUCAGACAGG